rnacentral:rRNA from 1 species
UGGCUCAGGACGAACGCUGGCGGCGUGCUUAACACAUGCAAGUCGAACGGUGAUGUCAGAGCUUGCUCUGGCGGAUCAGUGGCGAACGGGUGAGUAACACGUGAGUAACCUGCCCCCGACUCUGGGAUAACUGCUAGAAAUGGUAGCUAAUACCGGAUAUGACGAUUGGCCGCAUGGUCUGGUCGUGGAAAGAAUUUCGGUUGGGGAUGGACUCGCGGCCUAUCAGGUUGUUGGUGAGGUAAUGGCUCACCAAGCCUACGACGGGUAGCCGGCCUGAGAGGGUGACCGGCCACACUGGGACUGAGACACGGCCCAGACUCCUACGGGAGGCAGCAGUGGGGAAUAUUGCACAAUGGGCGAAAGCCUGAUGCAGCAACGCCGCGUGAGGGAUGACGGCCUUCGGGUUGUAAACCUCUUUUAGUAGGGAAGAAGCGAAAGUGAC